UCUCGCUCCCAGCCUUCUGUCAAUCAAAACUGUUAAAGUGCGUGGUGUGUGUGUGUGCGUUACGUUAUAAGAGUCACACACGCACGCUCGCUCGUAUAUAUAUUUAAAUACGUGUUGCGUCGCACGAAUUAGGGAGGGCGCCGCGGGGAGACGAGAGGGUUCAGGAGGAGGGUGGUGGUGGUGGUGAGCCGCUGAGAGUGUGAGUGGGGGGGAGACGGUGCCACAAGCGACAGAGAGGAAUUGGGAGAGCGGUGGAGAGAAGAAGAAGAAGCAGCAGCAGGAGGAGGAGGAGAAGAGGCGAUCAGUCGCCUACCCCCCCCACCCCAAGGCCCCCCCCGAAAUGGUACCGCUGACCGCCAUCCACAUGAUACGGGUGCGAACGGCACAUCGGAUCUAGAUCCUCGCCUCUUCUGCGCCUUCCAACCCUGGCUCCCCGCCCGUCAUGUGACCUCGCGUGUCGUCGCAGCGAUUGGCCGCCACCGUCUCCCCGGGAGCAGCGAGUAGGCGCGCGGAGAGUUAGGCACAGAUCGGAAAACUGGAGCCCUCUGCACAGACGGGGAGAGCAGCGUCGUGCGGUCGAGUCGGACGGACCCUUGCAGGAUGGACAUCAAGGGUCCUUCCCACAGGUGGUGGCGUGGAGGAUUUCCUAAACUUUCCCCAUUGACUCAACUGCCACGCCGGGAAGAUUGACCUCGCCACGGUGCACCCGGUGACCCCAGUCUGAUUCCAGGCCACAGAUAACAUCACUGGUGAGCGAUUGCAGAACCGGUCCUGAGUCUCCGCCCCCCCCCCCCCCUGCCCACCAUCACCAACCCGCACGGACCAGUGCGGUGAAGUACAGUCAAACGCACCUUCCUACGGCGUGCGAAAUAAGCUCGACAUACGCACAUACAAACAUGCAUCACCAAUGACCCAACACCGCAUUGGCAGGCAGGCGGCCUUCAUCCAACCCACCGUUGACGAACAAAGAGAUGGGAACUAAUUAUUGUCAGAGUGUAACUACUUCUGAUACGCUUGUCUGGAUCAUCGAAGCAGAAAAUAUGUCAGCAUCCCGGGCCACCACGUCCAAUGUCGCUCUCGCCCUGGCUGUGGUGACCAGGACGAGCGCCCAAGGCACCAGGACGGAGGAGUCUCAUUGGCAAGAGUCUCAGCUGGGUCACCGAAAUGGACAAAAGUGAAACAAAUUAAAUGAAGUCGAGCGACAGAAGAAAGUGGAAAUCGGAGCACUAAACAACCCGCGUCAAAUCGGAAAAUCGAAAAUAUUGCAUGAGCUGUAAGUCGACAUUGGGCCGUAAAUUCCCUGUAGUUGCAAGUCGGCUCGGGCAUAUUGUUUCUAUACUGACCAUAGCACAAUUACAAAUGAGCGUAGGUCCUCCUGUCUGUCCGACGACUGAGUCAUGCGCCUACUCCAGCGUAUCGGCGACUCUGGAAGUGAUGCGGUGAGAUUGAAUGCCUCUCCCGUUGAUUGUUUGUCCCGAUUGAUUAUUAUUAUUAUUUUAUAUUUCACAUUUCUUUACGUUUUCUAACCCAUGUAAAACACUCGUCGGUCUGAACCCGCAAUAAUGUGAGUAGGCACAAUGAGACGAGGUAGCUUUUUUUUUUUGUUUUCCAAAGAGUAAAGCGUGGGGGUUGCGGGAAAAAGUCGAGGAGGUUGUUGGUUAAUGUGUAGGUCAACGUUUAAUGUAUGCAGGUAUUAAACUGUGAAGUUAGAGAGCUGCCAAAUUCCAAUACCGAAUUGUUGUUGCCAAAUACAAACACACGCACACACAGGUGAACAAACUAAAGGCAAAGAUACCCCGAGAAGCCUUAACGGAGUUUUGGGGCAAGUGCUGUUGGCGAGCAGCACCGAUAGAAGCCGGCGCGGCACACGAAGAGGGGGCGGGAGAGGGGUGACCAGCACCACGCCCGGCCGCCGCCUUUGUCUACCUAGUGGCGUUGUUUACACUCAGGCUGAGUCGACCCUGGGGAGAGGCCCAGGACCGGUAUUCAGGUCAUCGUCACCGGGAAUAACCGGUGCGCCAGCACUUCCCACACAACAACAACAACAACAACCGCCAUUCGCCACUAAGUGGCGGGGACGUCACCACGACGCUUGUGCAUAUUCACACGCACACAACAAUUAUACGGCACUAUAAAUGUAACAAAGGUGCUAUAAGCUACGGAGCUUCAGUGCGUGCGGAACAAUCCAUUGUCGUACGGUGGUCUGUGCCCCCCCCCCCCCCCCCACCUUCACACGCCCGCGCCAAACCAGCGUGGUGAAGUAUGGUCAAAUUUACCAUCACGACUCGCGCGAGGAGGCCCUCAUGCAGCAGUGGAUUGACAACCGAGGCCGUGCAUGCGCUUCAACGUGACGCCGUGUGGAUCUGUUCCCGUUCAUUCCGUUGAUCGAUAACUGCACAAGCCGUGGGAGCCAAGACAUUAAUAACAAAGACAACAACAAAGACAACAACAACAACAACAACACUUACCACAAUGAUGCUCAUCUGCGUUUCACACCAACACGAAUGAUCCACGUCUGACCUUGCAAGAGCGAUUGAUUAGGCUGUCGUGCGGUCAAAUGAAAGUACGCAAGGAAGCGUGGAGAGGCGCUCGCUUGGAAUUACAUCGAGGGACGUAUGUACCGUGCGUUGAGCUUCUUUCGCGCCGUACGUAGCACAACAAACCAAACGCAAAAAAAGCAGUUUCAAGAGAAAUUCCUUUUCAAUCGAGCUCAUUUAGAAGUGCAUCGCUCCAGUGGCUUACUAAAUAUCGGAAGGGAGGGCCGAGUUCCAGACGGCCGCAGAAGCGCCAUCCGAAAGCGCCGCGCGAUGCGGAUGGCCGCCGCCGUUGUUUCGAUGGCGACGAAGACCGGAGUUCGCGUGAGGGCGGUUGAUGCUCGUCAACGAGAAGGGGGGGCGCAAAGGAGAGGAGCGCCCGGACGAGAGAACGCACAGCGCCGUCGCCGCUGCGAUCCUGCACCGUCGAGAAAAGCGCGCGCGGGGCUCGUGGGCAGAGGGGGGCGGAAGCGUCGCGGCCAGGAGGGGGACAGUGGCCCACGGUCGAGUCUGCUCGCGGAGUGGCAGCCGAGGGAUGGAACGCGCCGGAGAAGACUCCCGUCGUGGGAGACGGGAGCGAUGGAAUUGGCCCGCGCGGAUCAUCAGUCCGUGCGCCUGGGCGGAUUGUUGCACACCGCAGCAUCGCAAGCGUUGGUGGUGGCAGCGGCUUGGUGGGGGUAGAGGACUUCGUACAGCAGUGCUUUGACCUUGGCUGCUGAUAAUAAUAAUAAAGUUGAUGCUGAUGAUGAUGUUGAUAAUGAUGGUGGUGGUUCAUGUAGGAUAUUCAUGAUCGCAAAGGAUAUUUAGUUGGAAAUUCGUUCAUCGUCAUCAACACCUCGUGUCUCAUGCCUGUUUAUAUAUAUAUUUUUAAGGCAGUGUUAUGAACGAACUUGUUGAGCUGCAUAUGUUAACUGUCUCGUUAUGAUAAUGCCAAUCCAUGCUGCUAGAGUGGCUAGCAGUGCGAGCAUCAAAGCAACAGUCUCCUUCGUAUAAUUCGAAAUCCUAGUCGAGUGUCGUGGAACACAUUCAAACGACCUGCAAAAAUAACAAUUAUGAUGAUGCCAAUCCAUGCAUCCAGAAAAGCCUCCAUUGAGUCUCAAGACCUUUUUUUUGUUUUUGCUUCAGGAGGGGCCCUACCCUCGCGGGGGGUCUCCCCGCUGCAUUGGGAUUUUUUUUUAGUUUUAGGCCGGCGGUCGAACGUAUCGAGAGCUCGGCUUCGCCCGGGGUGGAAGAAACAGAGAACCACGGAGAGACGCGUGCGCAAAAUUGUCCACCUAUUGCACGGACGCGAGCCAGCGCGCUCGUGUGUCGCUCCCCUCGGGCCGUCCCCCCCUCGUCGUCAGCCAGAGUGUGCCUCGGCACCAGAGCUACGCGGGCGUUAAGCGACGCGUUUUGUAUUUUUUUGUUUUGCCAAGCAAGACCCACUGAGCUACGUAGCUCUUUUGUCAGAAGCGACCCGGCCA